CCUACGGGAGGCAGCAGUGAGGAAUAUUGGUCAAUGGGCGCAAGCCUGAACCAGCCAAGUCGCGUGAGGGAAGACGGUCCUAUGGAUUGUAAACCUCUUUUGCCGGGGAGCAAAAGACGCCACGCGUGGCGUUCCGAGCGUACCCGAAGGAAAAGCAUCGGCUAACUCCGUGCCAGCAGCAGCGGUAAUACGGGGGAUGCGAGCGUUAUCCGGGUUUCUUGGGUUUAAAGGGUGCGCAGGCGGAAGAUCAAGGCAGCGGUAAACUUGAGAGGCGAAACCUCUUCGAGCCGUUGAAACUGGUUGUCGUGAGUGAGCGAGAAGUAUGCGGAAGGCGUGGUGUAGCGGUGAAAUGCAUAGAUAUCACGCAGAACGCCGAUGGCGAAGGCAGCAUACCGGCGCUCAACUGACGCUCAUGCACGAAAGUGUGGGGAUCGAACAGGAUUAGAUACCCGGGUAGUC
rnacentral:rRNA from 1 species